rnacentral:rRNA from 1 species
ACUCCUACGGGAGGCAGCAGUGGGGAAUAUUGCACAAUGGGCGCAAGCCUGAUGCAGCAACGCCGUGUGAGUGAAGAAGGUUUUCGGAUCGUAAAACUCUGUCCUAAGGGAAGAAACAAAUGACGGUACCUUAGGAGGAAGCCCCGGCUAACUACGUGCCAGCAGCCGCGGUAAUACGUAGGGGGCAAGCGUUAUCCGGAAUCACUGGGCGUAAAGGGUGCGUAGGCGGCUUAGCAAGCCAGGGGUGAAAGGCAUUGGCUCAACCAAUGUAAGCCUUUGGAACUGUUAAGCUUGAGUGCAGGAGAGGUAAGUGGAAUUCCUAGUGUAGAGGUGAAAUUCGUAGAUAUUAGGAGGAACACCAGUGGCGAAGGCGACUUACUGGACUGUAACUGACGCUG